rnacentral:lncRNA from 1 species
CACUCCGGAGCAGGUAUUCCUGGAGAAAAGGUUGAAAACCACUGCUUGAGGUUCAGCAAUUUAUUACCAACCCCUGCCCCAACAAGGUAAGGAAAGCUGGCACAAAAGAGACAACAACAGUUGCUAAAUGACAAGAUGGAGCAGCCCACACAGAGCAUGGAGGGAGAAGCACAGAUGGCAGAGGAAGGGCUUGCAGGAGGCUGUGGGAACGCGGGCAGAAUGUAAAUCUCAUUGAAGCAUCUUGGUAAAUAAUUUGGUUAAUAAAAAAGUAGUUUAGUUUUAGAAUCCUGGAAGUCUUUUCAUGUUACUACCCUGCACACUGAACGUGAAACUGGGAGAGAUUGUGGCUCUGUCCUGUAGGGGAAGAAUAAACAAAGGAUUUAAAUAUAAAUCCUUAUUAUAAUCUGAGAGAUAGCGCCAACUCUUCUGGAGGAAGAGCCAGGUGGAAUAAAUAGUUUCAUCAUAAUUCACUGAGAACUGGGGUCAUUUGCUACUUUGUGAAUGAAGCAAACGCUGCUUUGUUUCUGCCACAGGUUUUACUGCUUGAAAGCAAGAGAGAAAGAAAGAAAAAGAGAGAAGGAAGGAAGGAAGGAAGGAAGGAAGGAAGGAAGGAAGGAAGGAAAGGAAGCUGCGUUCCCUGUGCUCUGCCUGCUGAGAAGUAGCUGCCAAACAGAAAUGGAAUAUAACUGUACACAGCAGGAGACAAAACCUCACUUCGUCCCCCUUUCAGUUUGGAGGAACAGUGAGAUCUCACUGUGUAGACCCAGGCCGCUGGGUUCAGGACAGCAUUGUGUACUUGGAAGAAGAAGCAAGACCUAUGAGAUUUGCAAACAGGAGCCAUAA